GAUGAACGCUGGCGGCGUGCCUAAUACAUGCAAGUCGAGCGAACAGACGAGGAGCUUGCUCCCCUGACGUUAGCGGCGGACGGGUGAGUAACACGUGGAUAACCUACCUAUAUGACUGGGAUGACUUCGGGAAACCGGAGCUAAUACCGGAUAAUAUAUUGAACCGCUUGGUUCAAUAGUUAAAGACGGUUUUGCCGACACUUAUAGAUGGAUCCGCAUCGCAUUAGCUAGUUGGUAAGGUAACGCCUUACCAAGGCAACGAUGCGUAGCCGACCUGAGAGGGUGAUCGGCCACAUUGGAAAUGAGACACGGGCCAGACACCUACGGGAGGCAGCAGUGGGGAAUGUUACUCAAUGGGCGAAAGCCUGACUGAACAAUGCCGCGUGAGUGAAGAAGGCCUUCGGAUCGUAAAACACUGUUAUUAGGAAAGAAAAAAAGCAGAUGUAUCCACGCACGUCUUGACGGUACCUAAACAAAAAGCAACGGCUAACUCCGUG
rnacentral:rRNA from 1 species